rnacentral:rRNA from 1 species
GACAGAGGGUGCAAACGUUGUUCGGAAUUACUGGGCGUAAAGCGCGUGUAGGCGGCUAAGUAAGUCGGGCGUGAAAUCCCACGGCUCAACCGUGGAAGUGCACUCGAAACUGCAUAGCUAGAGUCCUGGAGAGGAAGGUGGAAUGCUUGGUGUAGAGGUGAAAUUCGUAGAUAUCAAGCGGAACACCGGUGGCGAAGGCGGCUCUCUGGACCGACACUGACGCUGAGGCGCGAAAGCGUGGGGAGCAAACAGG